rnacentral:rRNA from 1 species
CAGUAGCCGCGGGAAUACGUAGGGUGCGAGCGUUAAUCGGAAUUACUGGGCGUAAAGCGUGCGCAGGCGGUUUUGUAAGACAGGCGUGAAAUCCCCGGGCUCAACCUGGGAAUGGCGCUUGUGACUGCAAAGCUAGAGUGCGGCAGAGGGGGAUGGAAUUCCGCGUGUAGCAGUGAAAUGCGUAGAUAUGCGGAGGAACACCGAUGGCGAAGGCAAUCCCCUGGGCCUGCACUGACGCUCAUGCACGAAAGCGGGGGGAGCAAACAGGAUUAGAUACCCGUGUAGUCCCUGUCUCUUAUAC